AUGAACGCUGGCGGCGUGCCUAAUCCCUGCAAGUCGAGCGCACGGACGAGAAGCUUGCUUCUCUGAUGUUAGCGGCGGACGGGUGAGUAACACGUGGAUAACCUACCUAUAAGACUGGGAUAACUUCGGGAAACCGGAGCUAAUACCGGAUAAUAUUUUGAACCGCAUGGUUCAAAAGUGAAAGACGGUCUUGCUGUCACUUAUAGAUGGAUCCGCGCUGCAUUAGCUAGUUGGUAAGGUAACGGCUUACCAAGGCAACGAUGCAUAGCCGACCUGAGAGGGUGAUCGGCCACACUGGAACUGAGACACGGUCCAGACUCCUACGGGAGGCAGCAGUAGGGAAUCUUCCGCAAUGGGCGAAAGCCUGACGGAGCAACGCCGCGUGAGUGAUGAAGGUCUUCGGAUCGUAAAACUCUGUUAUUAGGGAAGAACAUAUGUGUAAGUAACUGUGCACAUCUUGACGGUACCUAAUCAGAAAGCCACGGCUAACUACGUG
rnacentral:rRNA from 1 species